rnacentral:rRNA from 1 species
GAUGAACGCUGGCGGCGUGCUUAACACAUGCAAGUCGAACGAUGAAGCCCAGCUUGCUGGGUGGAUUAGUGGCGAACGGGUGAGUAACACGUGAGUAACCUGCCCUUAACUCUGGGAUAAGCCUGGGAAACUGGGUCUAAUACCGGAUAGGAGCGUCCACCGCAUGGUGGGUGUUGGAAAGAUUUAUCGGUUUUGGACGGACUCGCGGCCUAUCAGCUUGUUGGUGAGGUAAUGGCUCACCAAGGCGACGACGGGUAGCCGGCCUGAGAGGGUGACCGGCCACACUGGGACUGAGACACGGCCCAGACUCCUACGGGAGGCAGCAGUGGGGAAUAUUGCACAAUGGGCGCAAGCCUGAUGCAGCGACGCCGCGUGAGGGAUGACGGCCUUCGGGUUGUAAACCUCUUUCAGUAGGGAAGAAGCGAAAGUGACGGUACCUGCAGAAGAAGCACCGGCUAACUACGUG